UAUCUCUGUAGAGUCUGCAUAUCAAUAAGCGGAGGAAAAGAAACUAACUAGGAUUCCCUUAGUAACGGCGAGUGAAGCGGGAAGAGCUCAAAUUUGAAAUCUUCAGGGUUUUACCUUGACGAAUUGUAGUUUAAAGAAGUGUUUUCUGUUGGUGUUUUGGUAAAAGUUCUUUGGAAUAGGACAUCAUAGAGGGUGAGAAUCCCGUAUUUGACCAUUACUUCCAGCGUUGUGAUACACUUUCAAAGAGUCGGAUUGUUUGGGAAUGCAGUCCAAAAUGGGUGGUAAAUUUCAUCUAAAGCUAAAUAUUGGCGAGAGACCGAUAGCGAACAAGUACCGUGAGGGAAAGAUGAAAAGAACUUUGAAAAGAGAGUUAAACAGUACGUGAAAUUGUCAAAAGGGAAGCGUUUGACACCAGUGUUGUUUUCUCGAAAAUCAAUUAAAAAAGGCAGGAUUUUGUGUUGUAUUGACUUUAUCAGCUUUCUGCACUCUUUUCUUGUCUUUUUUUAAUGCACUUUUCGUUUAACAAGUCAACAUCAAUUUCUUUUGUUGUAAAAGGGUCAUUGGAAGGUGGCUUUCUUUUCGGAGAAAGUGUUUAUAGCCUUUGGCCUCUGCAAUCGGAGAGAUUGAGGUCUGCAGCGUAGAUCCUUCGGGGUUAGAUACAUUUGUGCUAAGUUAUAGCCUUUCAUAGACAACUUGUUGACUAUGAUCAGUCAUGUAGCUUACUCGCUUAUGCUAUUUUACCUACGCUUAGGAUGUUGAUAGUCACAGCGUGUAC
rnacentral:rRNA from 1 species